rnacentral:lncRNA from 1 species
CUGUGUGCGGGCAGCGCGGCCGCCCUCCGGUACAGAGCUGCUUCGGCUGGCUUAGCUGCAUUUGGGUGCAUCGUGAUAGAAAUUCAUCAUUCAAAUGCAGUCGUAGGACCGUUUUAAAGUCAGUGAGGAAGUAAAUGGCUUACUUAGUGUUUGCCUGUCACCUAUUAGAUCUACAGCUACAUUUUGAUAAAUAACCUACUAAGUCCUGUAAGUAGCUCAGAGAG